rnacentral:rRNA from 1 species
UGUGCCUACGGGACGCAGCAGGGGGGAAUAUUGCGCAAUGGGCGAAAGCCUGACGCAGCGACGCCGCGUGAGGGAUGGAGGUCUUCGGAUCGUAAACCUCUGUCAGCAGGGAAGAACGGUCACUGUGCUAAUCAGCAGUGAGUUGACGGUACCUGCAAAGGAAGCACCGGCUAACUCCGUGCCAGCAGCCGCGGUAAUACGGAGGGUGCGAGCGUUAAUCGGAAUUACCGGGCGUAAAGCGCUCGUAGGCGGUAUGUCAAGUCAAGGUGGAAAUCCCCGCGCUCAUCGUGG